UACGUAGGGGGCAAGCGUUGUCCGGAUUCAUUGGGCGUAAAGAGCUCGUAGGCGGUUCGGCAAGUCGGGUGUGAAAACUCCAGGCUCAACCUGGAGACGCCACCCGAUACUGCUGUGACUUGAGUCCGGUAGGGGACCACGGAAUUCCUGGUGUAGCGGUGAAAUGCGCAGAUAUCAGGAGGAACACCCGUAGCGAAGGCGGCACUCUGGGCCGAUACUGACACUGAGGAGCGAAAGCGUGGGGAGCGAACAGG
rnacentral:rRNA from 1 species